rnacentral:lncRNA from 1 species
UAUAGCCAAUCAUAUGUCACACACUUUUAACCAAAAGCGUCGAGCAUUGCGACUUUUACUCUAUUUAUAUAGUAUGCAUCAUUACACACUAGUACUGAAAUUUAAAUUACAAUACUGACUGGAAUGUAAAGCUACAAUACUAAUAGUAGGCAUCCGUAGUUUUUUUUUUCUAACACAUACACACAUAUAUUAUUUUAUUAUUAUCAUUAUUACUGUUUCUACCAUCACCUUCACUGAUAUGGAUUCAUCCAAAAAUCCAUAUUACGCUCAUCGUAUUUCCAUACGAGGCGUUCUCCCACCUGUCGCAUACGAUCACUGCUUUCUAAAAUUUCCUCCCCAAAAGUCCUAAGUUCCUGGACAUUUUCUGCACUCAUUGGGGGUGCAGGUUCUAGGACUGGGUUUGGAAACUGAGGUACAGGUUCCUGAUACGGAGGCAUAGGGGCCUGGUACGGGUAUGGAUUCUCUAAAAUUUCCCUAACAUAUGCAUCACUAAUGUUGUAGGGAUCUUGAGGAUCUAACCCUGGGUAAGCUCCUAAGUUGGGCAUUGGCACAUUUUCCUGUAUUGGGUUUUGUUGCACGUAGUCCCUAACAUCGUCCCACCAGGGGUCGUAAUUGUUUGGGUCUAGGGGAUCUGGUGCAAGUACCCUAGGUAUCUCCUCCGGGUUGUAAUCAGGCAUUUCUAUCUGGUCUUCUACUUCCAUGGGUUUGGGUCAGCAGCAGUGGUUGCUAAAAUAUGGAUAUUAGCAAUACCCCUAUUGAGCAUAUCCUGAUUAUAAGCAUCGGUUUCUCUUUUUGCUGCGGCUAACACUCGCUGUUCCUGCAACUUUUUCAUUCUUUUUCUACGCUCGUGUGCUCCCCUACUGAACCAUCCCCUCUUUUUCUGAGGAAAUGGCUCUUCAGACUGAGCCUUAAACACAAAGAUCCCUUCUUCUGUGUCAGCAGAAUACCCUGAGAGGGCAGGCUGAGAAGAGGAGGUGCCUUCGCUCCUAGGCGAACCAGACAGUUGACGAUAGGCGUCAGAAGGUCCUUGGUCGCUCAUACUGUAAACUAACAAAUAGUCAGAUAACACAUAGCAAGAAAUACAAUUAUACACGUAUUUUCAUAAUUUAUUUCCUAACACUUUUGAAUUUCGAUGUCAGCAGAACACUUCUGUGGCUGAAUCAGUGGCAUAGCUCUGAUACCACCUUCUGUCACAGCCCCCGAUCCCUAUCUCCCGGGAACGGGCGGCCGUGAGCCAGUUUCGGUGGUAUCACAUUUAUUUAUCCAAUUUGGCAGCGGAAAUUUUCAUCAGGACCGUAGUUAGGAAAUAUUUAAUCAGAGUAAACCACCAUGUUUUAUAAUAUUAAACAUAUGGGUAAAACCCAAGUUUUCAAUACACACAUUUCAUAGGAAUAAAUCCUAUUUAUUUAUUAAAAAGCAUCUCUUUUAUUCUUAGGUAACUUUAUUGCCACUUUUCCAAGCCUUCAGUGCUGUCCAGCUGGCUUCUAUUUGGCUUUCACAUAUUGUUACCUGAAACGCGUUUUAAAAAUAUUUUGUCAGUGGGAAAUACUGGUGAGUGAAUCCCAGUUUAAUCAAGUUUAAAUAAAAAUUCACAGUGAACAGUAUUGAGGGCGCAUCCGCAAUUACAUUUGUUUCCAAGUUAUAUCAAUUACCACCACACGGUAAUGUCGUUCCGACUUAUGGUCAUGUUACUCCUUUACCAGGUGGUAACAAAUUUUGUAUACAAAUCCCCAAAUUUACCGACUGUAAUUGUAUUCUUACAAAUACUCAAUAACUGUUAUUCGCAUGGAAAGAUAUUUAAGGUUUUGUAAAAACAGUUAACAAAAAGUGGAUCAACUCACAUUGCUGUCUUAGGUGAUUCUUUAGGGUUUCCUGGUGAAUAUCUAUAAUUUACACAAAUGCACGUGUGUUAGUAUAAUAACCCAUUUUAACAUUAGUAAUACCCUCCCCGAGACGGCAUUCCAACGACUACGUCGGGCAGAACCACGACAGCCGUUACGGAACCCUAGAUCAAUCGGGCAGCGUAUCUAAUACGUCUCCAGGGGUUAUAAUACUUACAUCGUAGCAGAACCUCGCUAUUCUGGGGGAUAUAAUGCCCGGGUAUAGUGUAUACUAUUC